UCUGAAGGCUAUUAAUUUGUUCCUUGCUGGCAGAGAUUUCUGUUUUUCUUUUUCUUUCCUUCUACGAUGACCAUGAAGCUGAUCAGUACGAGAUAAUGGUCAUUUCUUCAAAAUGACAGCUUACUUUAAUCUGUCUUUCCGACCCUUGUGGAGACAUCCUGGGAUGUAUCUGCCCUUCCCAAGGAGCUCUCUCACCACAGGAAAAUAAGCAGGGCUAUAGCAGGCUCGGAACAGCACCCCAGAGGCAAUUUAUUCAUUGCGCCAGGUCUACCUUUCUGCAUGGACAAUACUCAGACUGCAUAAGUAUGUCCCAACAUUUUAAGCAGCCACAACUGCCAUUACUUCUGCCCACAAGGGAGAGAGCAGUGGUGAAGGCGCAUGGAAAGGCUAUCUCUGCCUGCAGUGUGAGGCUGCAGACUGAUCCGAUAACAUAACACCAUGGAUUCUGUAUCCACGAGGCUGCCCAAAACUGUUUGCAGAUUUGGUGCAGAGGAGCGGCAUGGACUCAUCUGGACUGGAUGAGUGCAGAAUGGUGCAGAGAAGAAAUAUGUGGGCAACCAGCAAAGCAGCAGCAGAACAAACUUUCUAGAUCUGUUCUCUUUUUUUUUCCUUGGAGGCCAGGUAGGUUAAUGGAGAGUGUGAAAAAGGAGAGAUAACUUCACCUUAGCAUUUGCACA
rnacentral:lncRNA from 1 species